AUCGCUUCUCGGCCUUUUGGCUAAGAUCAAGUGUAGUAUAAAAUCUUUAGUGGUUAGCAUUCUAUCCUGUACCUAUAUUCAACCAGAUAAGCAUGAAUUAAGGUGAAAAAUCAUUAACUUUUUCACAGUAAGAUAUAAUAUCCUUAAUAAACUUAA
rnacentral:snRNA from 1 species